GAGGGUAUAGCUUAAGUGGUAGAGUGCAUGCUUAGCAUGCAUGAAGUCCUGGGUUCAAUCCCCAGUACCUCCA
rnacentral:tRNA from 1 species